rnacentral:tRNA from 1 species
GUCAGUGUAGCCUAGUGGUAAGGAGCAGGACUCAUAAUUUAAAGGUUGCCGGUUCGAUUCCCCACUGGGG